rnacentral:lncRNA from 1 species
CAUCUAAUUCUCCGUUCUUUUGCAAGAUAGAUCCUAGGUAACGAACACAGUAAGGAAAAGAAUAAACCAUAAGGAAAGAUUCAACACUUUAGAUAUAUACAUAUAUUUUCAAAUUCUAGUUUCUAGAGCAACCCUAAAGUCCAAAGUAAGGAAAAGAAUAAACCAUAAGGAAAGGUCCUAGAACUUUUUACUUGUAAGUAGAACUUUUUACAGUAAGGAAAAGAAUAAACCAUAAGGAAAGAUUCAACACUUUAGAUAUAUACAUAUAUUUUCAAAUUCUAGAGCAACCCUAAAGUCCAAAGUAAAGGUCCUAGAACUUUUUACUUGUAAGUAGAUUUUCUAUGUGAAUAAUU